AGAACGCAGCGAAAUGCGAUAAGUAAUGUGAAUUGCAGAGUUUAGUGAAUCAUCGAAUCUUUGAACGCACAUUGCGCCCCUCGGUACUCCGACGGGCAUGCCUGUUCGAGCGUCGUUUGCAAACCCUCAAGCGGAAUCACCGUCGGCUUGGUCUUGGGCACGCGCCCCCCGCGAGCGGGGGGCGCGCCCCGAAGUCAGCGGCGGCCCGCGACGACCGCCGGAGCGUCCUCGCAUGACACCGCUCCCGCGCGCUCGCCCCGGACCCGCCGGCAAACGCAAACCUCGAUAGUUCGACCUCGGAUCAGGUAGGGAUACCCGCUGAACUUAAGC
rnacentral:misc_RNA from 1 species